AUCCAGCUAAAAAGUCCCAAAUAGGACGAAACGCACGUUCUGGAU
rnacentral:hammerhead_ribozyme from 1 species